AUACGUAGGGGGCGAGCGUUGUCCGGAAUGAUUGGGCGUAAAGGGCGCGUAGGCGGCCCGGUAAGUCUGGAGUGAAAGUCCUGUUUUUAAGAUGGGAAUUGCCUUGGAUACUGUCGGGCUUGAGUGCAGGAGAGGGAAGUGGAAUUCCCAGUGUAGCGGUGAAAUGCGUAGAGAUUGGGAGGAACACCAGUGGCGAAGGCGACUUACUGGACUGUAACUGACGCUGAGGCGCGAAAGUGUGGGGAGCAAACAGGAUUAGAUACCCUGGUAGUCCACACUGUAAACGAUGAAUGCUAGGUGUAGGGGGUAUCGACCCCUUCUGUGCCGCAGUCAACACAAUAAGCAUUCCGCCUGGGGAGUACGGCCGCAAGGUUGAAACUCAAAUGAAUUGACGGGG
rnacentral:rRNA from 1 species